UUAUCAGGAGCUCUGCUCCGAUCCUACUACAGGGAAGGAAGAGAGCGCAUCGCGGCCGAGGAAAGCGGUUUGGGCAUCGCAGGGUCCACCUGAAGUGGCUCCUGACCUGAGUCCUGGCCCGGCGUCAUGUUAACGUGGGAGCUGAUCUGCGCCUUGCUGCGCCACCUGUUCGUGGCCUUCCUCGCGGUGUUGGUCUUUUUCUUCUGCUACAUCAAAGCAGUCCACAUGAGAUAUGAUCACAUCCCCGGCGCCCCGAGACCGAGUUUUUUAUUUGGUCACUUGCCAAUCAUGUGGAAAAUGCUUAAAAACCAGGAACUCUAUUUUGAUGUCUUUGUGCAGUGGGCUGAGAAAUAUGGACCAAUUGUGCGUGUAAACGCCUUUCACAAAAUUGCAUUACUGAUAUUCAGUCCUGAAGGAAUAAAGGAGUUCUUGAUGUCACCUCAAUACCCAAAGGACCCAAUUGUGUAUGGCAGUCUUUAUUAUAUAUGUGGUGAAAGAUUCUUAGGAAAUGGCUUGACAGCUACUCUGGAUUAUGAACAUUGGCACAAGCAGCGGAGAAUUAUGGAUCCAGCUUUCAGUCGAACUUACCUGAUGGGCUUGUUGGGAAUCUUUAAUGACAAAGCAGAAGAACUUAUGAAAGAGCUGGCGAAGAAAGCAGAUGGGAAAACAGAAGUGAAUGUGAUGAGCCUCCUGGAGAAAGUGACACUGGACAUCAUUGCAAAGGCAGCUUUUGGCAUGGACCUGAACACCCUGCAGGAUGACCAGGCUCCUUUCCCCCGUGCUGUGGCCAUGGUCAUGAUAGGAAUGAGCAAUAAGCGCAUGCCUUUAUUUGAGUAUCUGCCAUGGAACAGAAAACAGGUGAAAGAAAUUCGGGAAAGUGUGAGGUUGCUGCGUCGCACCGGGAGGGAGUGUUUUGAACGGAGGCGCAAACUUAUCCAGAAUGGAGAGGACCCCCCACAGGAUAUUCUCACUCAGAUAUUGAAGAAUUCAGCACAGGCAGGGGACUGCGAUGAAGAAAACAUGCUGGACAAUUUCGUCAACUUCUUCGUUGCGGGUCGAGAAACGUCUGCCAAUCAGAUGUCUUUUGCCGUAAUGGAGCUGGGGAGGCACCCUGAGAUAGUUGCAAAACUUCAGGCUGAAGUGGAUGAAGUCCUUGGUGCCAGGGAAGAUGUUGCCUAUGAAGAUCUUGGAAAGCUCAAAUAUUUAUCACAGGUUCUCAAAGAAACUCUCAGGUUGUACCCACCGGCUGCAGCCACUCUACGCAGGCCAAAAAAGGACACCAUCAUUGAAGGGAUCAACAUUCCAAAAAACACCACCUUGAUUUUCAGCACAUAUGUUAUGGGUCGUCUGGAGAAAUUCUUCAAAGACCCACUUGUGUUCAAUCCUGACCGAUUUAGAAAAGACCAACCAAGGAAGCCCAAUAAGGGAACUUCGUAAACAUUUGUGACAUGAGGGCUUGUUUAAAUGUCCUUACUGGUCAGUGAUGGAAAUGAGGAAGCAUUGGGACACAGAGGUAUCUACAAAUCCACUUGCCAGCUUCCUAGUGGCGAGUGCCCACAGCCCUCUGGCAAGCAGGACAUCCAGCACCACCCAGAGCUCCUCACCAGGGUUCUCAUUUCCCCUGCCAUUUUUUAGAAGGUAAUAAACAGCAGGAAUCCUUUCUGUGCAGUUUGAGGGGGCUCCCACCAUUUCUUACCAUCUUCGUAUCCCAGUGCAAAUGGCAGAGGAUCUGCUUCUGACCUAAGCACUCUGCCUGUGUUCCAGAAAAUAAUCUGAGGGAAGAGAACAGAUUGGUGGCAACCACAAAUAUUAGCAGGUUGUGAGUUUAGCCUCAAUUUGUGGAUUCCUGGACAUCUACUGGAAGUGUCCAGUUGGCAUCAAAUGUACUUCUAAGUGUCAGACCAGGAGCAUUUCCAGACAGCAGGCUUUACUGUGGGUUUACUGCAAGGAUUUCCUGCAAGUUCGAAUUUGCCCAAAAAACCUGAGGGGGAAAGUGGAUUUUUUAAAUCCCUGACUUAAAUUGGACUACGUUCCAAUGUGUAAUGAAAAACCAGAAUCAUGUGUGGACUGCUCCCCAAUAGCUCACAAGGACUUCGGGAUAAAUCUGGCCAAUAUGUGAGCACACACUGUCCAUUCCAGAGGAGAAGUGAGCUAAAAGUCCCAUCUGGAAAUGCUCUUGUCCAACAUUUCCCCCUUGGAUCUCUUAAUAUCUUUAGAAUUACUGGUAAAUGUCAACAUUCACCAAAUUCUGACACUUAACUGGGAUUGCCCACAAGGAGUAUACCCUGACCUGCUUUUAUGACUUUUUAACAACAGCUUGAUUUGCAGCAGGUGAAGCAUUUCACAACUUAGUAAUAAGCUCUGCCACUCACCAAUGUUUCAGCUUGAAGUUGUUGUUAAAGGCACAGGAGCCUGAGCCAAUGAGAAACGUUUGCAAUCUUAACACCCAGGCUAUAUAGGAUGUAGGUUAUGCUCAGCUCUUGGAAAAAUGAGAAGCAGAAUAAUAAAUAUCAGUAUUCUCAUUGUACAGAAAGGGAAAACAAGGCUCAAAACUGAAGCGAAGAUGAGUUCUGUAAAACAAAAACGCUAUCUGCUGCAGCAGUCAUCAGGGUUGCAAUGCGACAGUUGCAUAGUGUAUCUUAUUUGGACAAAAGCAUCUAAUUGAUUGCUGUCUUCCUUUAAUGAUUCUUUAGGCCAUACUUUUCCUAUUUCCCAUUUUCCCUGGGACCUCGUAACUGUAUUGGGCAAAAAUUUGCAAAGAUCGAGGCGAAAGUGGUGAUGGCCAAAUUUCUUCAGAGAUUUGAAUUCCAGCUGGUUCAGCCACAGAGUUUUAAAGUUUUGG